GGCUAAAGGCUUGCCGUUGUUCCUGCACGGCUAAGUGCCCAGGUUCAUCCUAAUUGAGCUGAACACUAGUCACUGGGUUCCACGGUUCUCUUCCAUGACCCAUGGCUUCUAAUAGAGCUAUAACACUCACCGCACGGCCCAAGAUUCCAUUCCUUGGAAUCUGUGAGGCCAAGAACCCCAGGUCAGAGAACACGAGGCUAGCCACCAUCUUGGAAGUGGCCUACCACCAUCUUGGAAGUGGCUCGCCACCAUCUGAGGAGCUCUGUGAGCAAGGACCCCCGGGAGAAAGCAUUUAUGGUGAGGAGAAAAGCAGCUGGUAUCACACUCUACCCAAGUCCCAAAAGCAGGUUCACAUAACUCCUGUCUUCAUUAUCUGAUAUCCGGGACUUUUUCCCUUUCACCUUCCAUUAUAGGAUGAUGCAGCAAGAAGGCCCUCACCAGAUACCAGUCCUUUGAUCUUGGACUACCCAGGCUUCAGAACUAUAAGAAAUAAAUCUCCGUUCUUUGAGGAUUACCCAGUUUGUGCUAUUCUGUUAUGGCAGCACAAAAUGGACUAAGACAUAGGUCCAAUCUAAGGCCUAUCUCCCAGAGGACACCUCAUAGCUGUGAAUGAAU
rnacentral:lncRNA from 10 species